rnacentral:rRNA from 1 species
GGGGAAUAUUGGACAAUGGGCGCAAGCCUGAUCCAGCCAUACCGCGUGGGUGAAGAAGGCCUUCGGGUUGUAAAGCCCUUUUGUUGGGAAAGAAAUCCAGCUGGCUAAUACCCGGUUGGGAUGACGGUACCCAAAGAAUAAGCACCGGCUAACUUCGUGCCAGCAGCCGCGGUAAUACAGAGGGUGCAAGCGUUAAUCGGAAUUACUGGGCGUAAAGCGUGCGUAGUCGGUUAUCUAAGUCGGGUGUGAAAUCCCCGGGCUCAACCUGGGAAUUGCAUUCGAUACUGGAUAGCUAGAGUUCGGCAGAGGGAAGUGGAAUUUCCGGUGUAGCGGUGAAAUGCGUAGAUAUCGGAAGGAACAUCAGUGGCGAAAGCGACUUCCUGGACCAGAACUGACGAUCAGGCACGAAAGCGUGGGGAGCAAACA